AUUGAACGCUGGCGGCAUGCUUUACACAUGCAAGUCGAACGGUAACAGGGUGCUUGCACCGCUGACGAGUGGCGAACGGGUGAGUAAUGCGUCGGAACGUGCCGAGUAGUGGGGGAUAACGCAGCGAAAGUUGUGCUAAUACCGCAUACGUACUGAGGUAGAAAGUGGGGGACCUUCGGGCCUCACGCUAUUCGAGCGGCCGGCGUCUGAUUAGCUAGUAGGUGAGGUAAAGGCUCACCUAGGCGACGAUCAGUAGCGGGUCUGAGAGGAUGAUCCGCCACACUGGGACUGAGACACGGCCCAGACUCCUACGGGAGGCAGCAGUGGGGAAUUUUGGACAAUGGGCGAAAGCCUGAUCCAGCCAUGCCGCGUGUCUGAAGAAGGUCUUCGGGUUGUAAAGGACUUUUGUCGGGGAGGAAAUCCCCAGCGUUAAUACCGCUGGGGGAUGACAGUACCUGAAGAAUAAGCACCGGCUAACUACGUGCCAGCAGCCGCCGUAAUAC
rnacentral:rRNA from 1 species